GACUCUGUCUCUUUGUCUUAUUUUCUCAGUCCUCCUUUACCCCAUUCAGGAACCUUUCGACUGGUGGCGGCUGGUCCGCCACAGAUGACGAGACCGCAAGACGGAGCCCACCUGGAUUCCUGUGGCCCUCGUGGAUGACAGUUGCUCUACAGAGCUCCCUGGCCCCAGGAAAUUGUUCUUGGGAUUCAGGGAUUGUGUAUAACAGUGGCAUGACCUACCCUAUCCCAUCUUAAUUUAGGGCAUUGGCUGGGAACAAGAUUUAUGGGUUGCAAGAAAAGAGAAAACCAGAACAGGAGCCAAGUGAUCGUGAGAAAGAAGCCAGAUCCUGCAGACUUUGUAAAUCAAGGUAAGCCAUUGUCCUCAAAAUGGGUGAAGCCAGGAAUUUACAGCGAGCCACGGAUGUCAUCAAUGAAGUGAAUUUUGUAUAAGACCUUUUGUACCUCACAGAAGCUUGCUGCUUACCUGUGCUGUGGUAUUUGACAGUAGAGCUGCACAUCUGUCAUCAGCAUCACAGCUUCAAGUGCAUGCAACUUCCUUCCUACCAGUGACUCGGCUUCAUCCCAGCUAGUCUGCCAUUGCUCUGCACACUGCCAGUAGCCUAGAAGGGAAGAGCAGCUCUAUCUGCCCUGCUUGCCUCCCUGGGCUUCUCUGCCCUGGAGGUGCCUGGUCCAUGAUUCCUCACCACCGUCAUAACUUUCUAAUGCCUUCAAGCAGAUUUAGAAACAUUUGUUUUGUCCUAACUUUUAUAGCAAUUUUAAAUAGGAAAAUACUUCUGAGACUACCUAGUCCACCAAAGCUGGAGGCAAAGUGCCACUGAAAGAGAAAGAUGAAGUGUGUUUUUUUUGUUUCAAGAAAGACUAAAUGUACCAAAUUUGCUGGUUUUUUCUGUGAUGUCAUACAGUUACAGAUAAUAUGCUCCCUUGAGAAUUCUUUUUUUUUAAUUUUUUUUGCAUUAAGUCAUCAAUAAUUGUAUUUUGUUCUCUUGGAUUUGGAUUUAGUAUUUAGUAUUGCAUCUAAGAAGAAGAAAAAUGUAGGAUGUGAGGACAAAAAAUAUGAAAUAAAGAAAAUGUAUAAGAUAUAAUAUUUUAAUAACGAGCAAGAGCUACCAAAGCAUGCAUGACAGAUGUGUCAGUCUCUAUAAUAUAUCAAUUCUGGGCUCAUUCCAAUGGCCUUGCCUUGGUUCUCAGUUCUUCUCCAACUUGGAAUGGCUUCUUCACACCAUCCUGCCUUUCCACAUUUUAUACACCUCUGGGGGCUUCUGGCUUCUGAGAACUAACGAGGGAAAGGAGGUGGGUUCGAUAGAGUAACAUCUGCAGAGGAACAGAAAUGAAACCGAAGCUGCAGUCAAUCUUCAUUCCUACUCCGCCUAACCCGCCGGCACCUCCUGAAAGCCUGCAGAAAGAGGAGACUUAGACUUCCCUAAAUUUGUGCCCAGGGAUGGGCAACGUUUCCCAGUUCUGCCCAGGUCGCCCCAGGAGACCAUCUUCCUCUCUCCUCCGAAUCCCGCUGAAACUCUUCUGCUGGCGUUUGUCUUCCCACCAGAGACCUUUCUUUGGCCAUCUGGGGUUCAAAGUCGCCGUAUACUUCUGGCGGUUCCUCCUAGAACCUCACUUCCCACCGGCCCUGCCAUGAGGGAGGAGUUCCCCUUGAGAAUUCUUUUAAAAAAACUUCUUGAUCUGUUCUUUUAAGGUAAAGGUGAAGUUUAGUAGCGAGUAAAACAGGAGCCAGUUUCUAAAAGAAAUAUGUGCUAUAGAGAGAAAAAUUUGCAAAGGAGCAUUUGUGGAAGCAUUUCCAUCAUUUUAAGAUUUCAUUGUUGCACUUAAUACCAGGUUAACACAAAUUCUCCCAACUACACAACAAUUAAAAAGCAGGAAUGAUAGUUUCCUAUCCUAUUUAAAUUUUUCUAGCUGGACUGGGCAAUGGUAAACACCUGUAACCCCAGUACUCAGAAGGCUGAGGCAGGAGGAUCACUGUGAGUUUACAGCCAGCCUGAGCUACGUAGUAAGUUCAAGGCUUGCCUGGACCACAUAGGGAGACCCUGUUCCAAAAAGAAAAAAACCACAAAACAACAACAAGCCCAAACAAACAAAAAACCCAAAAAGACAUUUUUUUCCUCUAGCUGAAAGUCAAUGAACUUUGAAGUUGUGUGCUAAAAUACAAAAAUCUAACAUCUGCUAGUUGUUUGCCUAACAGUAGUAAAAAUGGAAAUAUACUAGCUAAAUUCUCUCUUCUGUACUCAUACUCCAAAAAUCCUUAGUGUAUAAUUAGUAGUUAGGGUUGUUAAAACUAGGAACUGUUGUUUAAUAAGCAUAGCUAGUGAUAAACUUCAUGUGGGUUUACAUAUCUGUGAACUUCUAAUUUUAGCGGCCAUUAAAAUCAAGUAUAAAAAUGAGCUGAAUUUAGGUCCAGAUAUUUGAACCAUAUUCAGUAACUUACAUUUACAAUUUCUUAAUGAA